rnacentral:lncRNA from 1 species
GAACUUCGGUUCCUCAUCUGCCAGUUGGCAGACGCUCAGCAAAUCUUCCUAGACUCACGGGGCGAAUUGUACAGUUGGGUAAAUCGAGGCCCAGAGAUGGCAAAAGGACCGUCCAAGGUCGUACAGCCACCCGGAAUUACAAUUCUUUUCUGCCGGGUCACACGCUGUCAUCCACGUGUUACCUAAGAGAGCUUUCCAGCCUGUGCUAAGAAAACUGCCCCACAUCAUCUGCAGUAGGACGGGGGAGUUGGAGCCCUGGUCAGGCCACUCUGCUACUGACCACAGUUUUCUCAUCUCUAAAAAGGCGCAGUAACAAUAUAAUUACCGUAUGCAGUCCCCCAGGAUACAGGGUCAAAGGAGAGCACAACCAUCGCAGUUGGAAGCCCAUGGGGCAGGGCCCAGGACACAGUGAGCAUACAAUAGACAUUAGCUGCUGUGGUGUCUUGAUUUCAAGCCCAGUGCAGAUGCAUCUGACUUACGAAACUUCAGUGACACCUGCUCUGUGCCAGACACUGAAGAUGGAGCAGUGAACAGCACUGACCCAGCCUGUCCUCCUGUUGCCUGCAGGCCAGAGACAGGGUUUCACCAUGUUGGCCAGGCUGGUGUCGAACUCCCGACCUCAGGUGAUUGUCGGCCUUGGCCUCCCAAAGUGCUGGGAUUACAGGCGUGAGCCACCGCGCCCAGCCGGUGGGCAGCCAGUUGUGUUCCGGGAGGAGGAGGACACCCUGGAAAGACAGUGGGGCCAGACACUGAACUGCCUUUGGAAGCAAGUAGGAGCAACAGCGAAGGUUUGCUGGCUCAGAAGCAAGGUCUCGCUGUGUUACCCUGGCUGGAGUGCAGUGGCUACUUACAGGCAUGAUCAUAGCAUACUGCAGCCUCGAACUCCUGGACUAGAGCAGUUCUCCUGCCUCAGCCUCCAGAGCAGCUGGGACUGCAGACACGCACCACAGAGCCCAGCCUGAGUCAUUUUGAUUCUGUAACUGGCUUCCUCUCGGCGGGCAGGCUCACACCCUCCACCCCCAGCUGGAGAUGGAAGGAGGAUGCUCACCGCCCAUUCCUCAUGCAGGCCAUCGAUGGAAAUGUCAGACAGUGCGAGUCCACGCCUGAACACUUCUGGGGUCCGCUCUGGGACUGACACUGGCAGAUCCAUCGAUGCCGUUCCAUUGUUUGCUGACUUUCAUUGAUUCUAUGAGAAGUCUGCAGUCUUUUGCAGCGUUGUUUUCCUAUGUAUAAUUGUCUCCUCCCACCCCACUCACCCCAGCUGCUUUCCACAUUCUCUCUCUUUGAUUUUCAGCAGUCUGCCCAUGAUGUGCCUAAAUAGGACUUUCUUUGCAUUCAUCUUGGCUGGGGCUCACUGAACUUUCUGAAUCUGUAGAUUAAUUUUCUUUUUUCAAUAAACCUUGGAAUAUUUUCAGCAUAA